rnacentral:rRNA from 1 species
GAGUUUGAUCAUGGCUCAGGAUUAACGCUGGCGGCGUGCCUAACACAUGCAAGUCGAGCGGCAGCGAGUUUUACACUGAAUUCUGGAAGCUUCUAGUUGAAAGAGAAGAUUUAUUCAAGAAUUUUGUGUAAAAUGUCGGCGAGCGGCGGACGGCUGAGUAACGCGUGGGAACGUACCCCAAAGUGAGGGAUAACGCAUCGAAAGGUGUGCUAAUACCGCAUAUGGUCUUCGGAUUAAAGCCUUCGGGCGCUUUGGGAACGGCCUGCGUAAGAUUAGAUAGUUGGUGGGGUAAUGGCCUACCAAGUCGACGAUCUUUAACUGGUUUGAGAGGAUGAUCAGUCAGACUGGAACUGAGACACGGUCCAGACUCCUACGGGAGGCAGCAGUGAGGAAUCGUCCGGGGUGGGCGAAAGCCUGAUGGAGCAACGCCGCGUGCAGGAUGAAGGCCUUCGGGUUGUAAACUGCUUUUAUAAGUGAUGAUUAUGACAGUAACUUAUGAAUAAGGAUCGGCUAACUACGUGCCAGCAGCCGCGGUCAUACGUAGGAUCCGAGCGUUAUCCGGAGUGACUGGGCGUAAAGAGUUGCGUAGGUGGUUUAAUAAGCGAAUAGUGAAAUCUGGUGGCUCAACCAUUCAGACUAUUAUUCGAACUGUUGAACUCGAGAGCAGAAGAGGUAGCUGGAAUUUCUAGUGUAGGAGUGAAAUCCGUAGAUAUUAGAAGGAACACCGAUGGCGUAGGCAGGCUACUGGGCUGUUUCUGACACUGAGGCACGAAAGCGUGGGGAGCGAACCGGAUUAGAUACCCGGGUAGUCCACGCCGUAAACGAUGGAUACUAGCUGUUUGGGGUAUCGACCCCCUGAGUAGCGAAGCUAACGCGUUAAGUAUCCCGCCUGUGGAGUACGAUCGCAAGAUUAAAACAUAAAGGAAUUGACGGGGACCCGCACAAGCGGUGGAUCAUGUUCUUUAAUUCGAUGAUAACCGAUAAACCUUACCAGGUCUUGACAUCCUUGGAAUCUUUCAGAAAUGAGAGAGUGCUUUUUAAGAGCCAAGUGACAGGUGAUGCAUGGCCGUCGUCAGCUCGUGUCGUGAGAUGUUUGGUUAAGUCCAUCAACGAGCGCAACCCUUGUCAGUAGUUGUAUUUUUCUACUGAGACUGCCCCGGUAACGGGGAGGAAGGAGGGGAUGACGUCAGGUCAGUAUUUCCCUUACGUCCUGGGCUAGAAACGUGAUACAAUGGCUAGUACAAUGCGCAGCGAAGCCGCGAGGUGAAGCAAAUCGCAUCAAAGCUAGUCCCAGUUCGGAUUGUAGGCUGAAACUCGCCUGCAUGAAGUCGGAAUCGCUAGUAAUCGCAGAUCAGCAUGCUGCGGUGAAUACGUUCCCGGGUCUUGCACACACCGCCCGUC